GACGAACGCUGGCGGCGUGCUUAACACAUGCAAGUCGAACGGAAAGGCCCUGCUUUUGUGGGGUGCUCGAGUGGCGAACGGGUGAGUAACACGUGAGUAACCUGCCCUUGACUUUGGGAUAACUUCAGGAAACUGGGGCUAAUACCGGAUAGGAGCUCCUGCUGCAUGGUGGGGGUUGGAAAGUUUCGGCGGUUGGGGAUGGACUCGCGGCUUAUCAGCUUGUUGGUGGGGUAGUGGCUUACCAAGGCUUUGACGGGUAGCCGGCCUGAGAGGGUGACCGGCCACAUUGGGACUGAGAGACGGCCCAGACUGCUACGGGAGGCAGCAGUGGGGAAUAUUGCACAAUGGGCGGAAGCCUGAUGCAGCAACGCCGCGUGCGGGAUGACGGCCUUCGGGUUGUAAACCGCUUUCGCCUGUGACGAAGCGUGAGUGACGGUAAUGGGUAAAGAAGCACCGGCUAACUACGUG
rnacentral:rRNA from 1 species